UUAUCUUCUCUCUUUUUCUUCUUUCCAAUUUCUUUCUCUCUCUUCUUUCUCUUCUUCUCUCCUCCAUUAAUGGCAAUUUGUGAGUGUAUCUCCAACCGACGUUGAUUCUGACUAUUCCACUGUCUACUCCACCAGAUAUGCUCCACUGUAGAGAACCUCCUUCCCACUUUUACCUCCUCUUCUAAAGUUGCUACUAAAAAAAUUAUCCUUCGUUGCAUUCCACCAUAUCUAUUCCGCCGCUGCUUUCCAGCAGAUGUAUUCCACCGCCCUUCCACAAGAUCUUCUCUCCUUGGCUUAUUUUCUUGUAUUUUUAGUUGAUAUGAUGAUUCAAGAGGUACACCCACCAAGUGUUCGACUAAAUUCCACCAAUGAUGGUAGAAUUAUUGGUAGAUUUUCAUAAUGGUUUACUAUAUCUACUGCCUUCCAGCAGAUGUAUUCCUCCGCCCUUCCACAAGAUCUUCUCUCCUUGGCUUAUUUGCUUGUGUUUUUAGUUAAUAUGAUGAUUUAAGAGAUACGUCCACCAACUGUUCGACGAAAUUCUUUCAAUGAUGGUGACAGACGACGAACGGUGGAUCAAAAGAUAGGCUAUAUGUUGGAAGGGGAGUCAAGUUACCGGCAAGAAAAUGGAGUUUUGUUUAUCAAAAAAAUAUGUAUAGAUUUGUUGCUUAAAUAGUGGUAGAUUUGUUUACUUGAUGGUAAAUUUAAUUUAGAAUUUAAUAGAUUUAUU